rnacentral:rRNA from 1 species
AGUAAUACAUCGGAACGUGUCUUCUAGUGGGGGAUAACUGCCCGAAAGGGCAGCUAAUACCGCAUGAGACCUGAGGGUGAAAGCGGGGGAUCGCAAGACCUCGCGCUGGAAGAGCGGCCGAUGUCCGAUUGGCUAGUUGGUGAGGUAAAGGCUCACCAAGGCGACGAUCGGUAGCUGGUCUGAGAGGACGACCAGCCACACUGGGACUGAGACACGGCCCAG